UACGUAGGUGGCGAGCGUUGUCCGGAUUUACUGGGUGUAAAGGGCGUGUAGGCGGGAUGGCAAGUCAGGUGUGAAAUACCAAGGCUUAACCUUGGGGGUGCACUUGAAACUGCUGUUCUUGAGUGUCGGAGAGGAAAGCGGAAUUCCUAGUGUAGCGGUGAAAUGCGUAGAUAUUAGGAGGAACACCAGUGGCGAAGGCGGCUUUCUGGACGAUCACUGACGCUGAGGCGCGAAAGCGUGGGGAGCAAACAGG
rnacentral:rRNA from 1 species